rfam:Ovis aries breed Texel chromosome 14, whole genome shotgun sequence.
UCCCUGGUGGUCCAGUGGUUAAGACUCUGCACUUCCAACGCACGGGACGCAGGUUUGAUCCCUGGUUGGGGAA